rnacentral:rRNA from 1 species
GACGAACGCUGGCGGCGUGCCUAAUACAUGCAAGUAGAACGCUGAAGAGAGGAGCUUGCUCUUCUUGGAUGAGUUGUGAACGGGUGAGUAACGCGUAGGUAACCUGCCUUGUAGCGGGGGAUAACUAUUGGAAACGAUAGCUAAUACCGCAUAACAAUGGAUGACCCAUGUCAUUUAUUUGAAAGGGGCAAAUGCUCCACUACAAGAUGGACCUGCGUUGUAUUAGCUAGUAGGUGAGGUAACGGCUCACCUAGGCGACGAUACAUAGCCGACCUGAGAGGGUGAUCGGCCACACUGGGACUGAGACACGGCCCAGACUCCUACGGGAGGCAGCAGUAGGGAAUCUUCGGCAAUGGGGGCAACCCUGACCGAGCAACGCCGCGUGAGUGAAGAAGGUUUUCGGAUCGUAAAGCUCUGUUGUAAGUCAAGAACGAGUGUGAGAGUGGAAAGUUCACACUGUGACGGUAGCUUACCAGAAAGGGACGGCUAACUACGUG